AGUCGAGCGGAACGAUGGGAGCUUGCUCCCAGGCGUCGAGCGGCGGACGGGUGAGUAAUGCAUAGGAAUCUGCCCGAUAGUGGGGGAUAACCUGGGGAAACCCAGGCUAAUACCGCAUACGUCCUACGGGAGAAAGCAGGGGCUCUUCGGACCUUGCGCUAUCGGAUGAGCCUAUGUCGGAUUAGCUGGUUGGUGAGGUAAUGGCUCACCAAGGCGACGAUCCGUAGCUGGUCUGAGAGGAUGAUCAGCCACAUCGGGACUGAGACACGGCCCGAACUCCUACGGGAGGCAGCAGUGGGGAAUAUUGGACAAUGGGCGAAAGCCUGAUCCAGCCAUGCCGCGUGUGUGAAGAAGGCCCUCGGGUUGUAAAGCACUUUCAGUGGGGAAGAAAGCCUUGGGGCUAAUACCCUCGAGGAAGGACAUCACCCACAGAAGAAGCACCGGCUAACUCCGUGCCAGCAGCCGCGGUAAUACGGAGGGUGCGAGCGUUAAUCGGAAUUACUGGGCGUAAAGCGCGCGUAGGUGGCUUGAUAAGCCGGUUGUGAAAGCCCCGGGCUCAACCUGGGAACGGCAUCCGGAACUGUCAGGCUAGAGUGCAGGAGAGGAAGGUAGAAUUCCCGGUGUAGCGGUGAAAUGCGUAGAGAUCGGGAGGAAUACCAGUGGCGAAGGCGGCCUUCUGGACUGACACUGACACUGAGGUGCGAAAGCGUGGGUAGCAAACAGGAUUAGAUACCCUGGUAGUCCACGCCGUAAACGAUGUCGACUAGCCGUUGGGAGCCUCGAGUUCUUAGUGGCGCAGUUAACGCGAUAAGUCGACCGCCUGGGGAGUACGGCCGCAAGGUUAAAACUCAAAUGAAUUGACGGGGGCCCGCACAAGCGGUGGAGCAUGUGGUUUAAUUCGAUGCAACGCGAAGAACCUUACCUACCCUUGACAUCGUGCGAACUUGGUAGAGAUACCUUGGUGCCUUCGGGAACGCACAGACAGGUGCUGCAUGGCUGUCGUCAGCUCGUGUUGUGAAAUGUUGGGUUAAGUCCCGUAACGAGCGCAACCCUUGUCCCUAUUUGCCAGCGAUUCGGUCGGGAACUCUAGGGAGACUGCCGGUGACAAACCGGAGGAAGGUGGGGACGACGUCAAGUCAUCAUGGCCCUUACGGGUAGGGCUACACACGUGCUACAAUGGUCGGUACAAAGGGUUGCAAAGCGGCGACGUGGAGCUAAUCCCAGAAAGCUGAUCUCAGUCCGGAUCGGAGUCUGCAACUCGACUCCGUGAAGUCGGAAUCGCUAGUAAUCGUGAAUCAGAAUGUCACGGUGAAUACGUUCCCGGGCCUUGUACACACCGCCCGUCACACCAUGGGAGUGGACUGCACCAGAAGUGGUUAGCCUAACUUCGGAGGGCG
rnacentral:rRNA from 2 species